AAACGCUGAAGGCAUCUAAGCGUGAAGCCCCCCUCAAGAUGAGAUAUCCCUACGAUUAAGUAGUAAGACCCCUUGAAGACGACGAGGUAGAUAGGACAGAGGUGGAAGUGUGGUAACACAUGGAGCUGACUGUUACUAAUCGGUCGAGGGCAUGACCAAG
rnacentral:rRNA from 1 species